GUUGUAUAGUCAAGUAAUUAAGUGCAUGUGGUGGAUGCCUUGGCAGUCAGAGGCGAUGAAAGACGUGAUAGCCUGCGAAAAGCUCCGGGGAGGCGGCAAAUAUCCUUUGAUCCGGAGAUGUCUGAAUGGGGGAACCCACCUACUUUAAGGUAGGUAUUGCAACAUGAAUACAUAGUGUUGCAAGGCGAACGAGGGGAAGUGAAACAUCUCAGUACCCUUAGGAAAAGAAAUCAAUUGAGAUUCCCUCAGUAGCGGCGAGCGAACGGGGAUCAGCCCAUUAAGUUAUGUGUGUUUUAGUGGAACGCUCUGGGAAGUGCGAACGUAGAGGGUGAUAUUCCCGUACACGAAAGGGCACACAUAAUGAUGACGAGUAGGGCGAGGCACGUGAAACCUUGUCUGAAUAUGGGGGGACCAUCCUCCAAGGCUAAAUACUCCUGACUGACCGAUAGUGAACCAGUACCGUGAGGGAAAGGCGAAAAGAACCCCUGUGAGGGGAGUGAAAUAGAUCCUGAAACCGCAUGCAUACAAGCAGUGGGAGCACCUUCGUGGUGUGACUGCGUACCUUUUGUAUAAUGGGUCAGCGACUUAUAUUCAGUAGCGAGGUUAACCGUAUAGGGGAGCCGUAGAGAAAUCGAGUCUUAAUAGGGCGUUUAGUUGCUGGGUAUAGACCCGAAACCAGGCGAUCUAUCCAUGAGCAGGUUGAAGGUUGGGUAACACUAACUGGAGGACCGAACCCACUGUCGUUGAAAAGCCAGGGGAUGACUUGUGGAUAGGGGUGAAAGGCUAAUCAAGCCUGGUGAUAGCUGGUUCUCCCCGAAAGCUAUUUAGGUAGCGCCUCGGACGAAUACCAUAGGGGGUAGAGCACUGUUUCGGCUAGGGGGUCAUCCCGACUUACCAAACCGAUGCAAACUCCGAAUACCUAUGAGUACUAUCCGGGAGACAGACUGCGGGUGCUAACGUCCGUAGUCAAGAGGAAAACAAUCCAGACCGCCAGCUAAGGCCCCAAAAUCAUAGUUAAGUGGGAAACGAUGUGGGAAGGCAUAGACAGCUAGGAGGUUGGCUUAGAAGCAGCCACCCUUUAAAGAAAGCGUAAUAGCUCACUAGUCGAGUCGGCCUGCGCGGAAGAUGUAACGGGGCUAAAACUAUGUGCCGAAGCUGCGGAUNNNNAUGCUGGAGGUAUCAGAAGUGCGAAUGCUGACGUGAGUAACGACAAAACGGGUGAAAAACCCGUUCGCCGAAAGACCAAGGGUUCCAGUCCAACGUUAAUCGGGGCUGGGUGAGUCGACCCCUAAGGCGAGGCCGAAAGGCGUAGUCGAUGGGAAAAUGGUUAAUAUUCCAUUACUUCUGUGUAAUGCGAUGAGAGGACGGAGAAGGCUAAAUCAGCCUGGCGUUGGUUGUCCAGGUGAAAGGAUGUAGGCAUGUAUCUUAGGCAAAUCCGGGGUACUCUAUGCUGAGAUCUGAUAGCAAGCUGUACUUGUACAGCGAAGUGGUUGAUGCCAUGCUUCCAGGAAAAGUCUCUAAGCUUCAGUUACACAGGAAUCGUACCCGAAACCGACACAGGUGGUCAGGUCGAGUAGACCAAGGCGCUUGAGAGAACUCUGCUGAAGGAACUAGGCAAAAUGGUACCGUAACUUCGGGAGAAGGUACGCUGUUGUUGGUGAUGGAACUCGCUUCCUGAGCUGACGACAGCCGCAGAAACCAGGCCGCUGCAACUGUUUAUUAAAAACAUAGCACUCUGCAAACACGAAAGUGGACGUAUAGGGUGUGAUGCCUGCCCGGUGCUGGAAGGUUAAUUGAUGGGGUUAGCGUAAGCGAAGCUCUUGAUCGAAGCCCCAGUAAACGGCGGCCGUAACUAUAACGGUCCUAAGGUAGCGAAAUUCCUUGUCGGGUAAGUUCCGACCUGCACGAAUGGCAUAAUGAUGGCGGCGCUGUCUCCAGCAGAGGCUCAGUGAAAUCGAAAUCGCUGUGAAGAUGCAGUGUACCCGCGGCUAGACGGAAAGACCCCGUGAACCUUUACUGCAGCUUGACACUGAACUUUGACCUUACUUGUGUAGGAUAGGUGGGAGGCUUUGAAGCUGGAACGCUAGUUCCAGUGGAGCCGUCCUUGAAAUACCACCCUGGUAAUGUUGAGGUUCUAACUCUGUCCCGUGAUCCGGGACGAGGACCGUGUCUGGUGGGUAGUUUGACUGGGGCGGUCUCCUCCUAAAGAGUAACGGAGGAGUACGAAGGUGCGCUCAGCGUGGUCGGAAAUCACGCGUAGAGUAUAAAGGCAAAAGCGCGCUUAACUGCGAGACCCACAAGUCGAGCAGGUACGAAAGUAGGUCUUAGUGAUCCGGUGGUUCUGUAUGGAAGGGCCAUCGCUCAACGGAUAAAAGGUACUCUGGGGAUAACAGGCUGAUACCGCCCAAGAGUUCAUAUCGACGGCGGUGUUUGGCACCUCGAUGUCGGCUCAUCUCAUCCUGGGGCUGAAGCAGGUCCCAAGGGUAUGGCUGUUCGCCAUUUAAAGAGGUACGCGAGCUGGGUUUAGAACGUCGUGAGACAGUUCGGUCCCUAUCUACCGUGGGCGCUGGAAAUUUGAGAGGAUCUGCUCCUAGUACGAGAGGACCAGAGUGGACGAACCUCUGGUGUACCGGUUGUGACGCCAGUCGCAUCGCCGGGUAGCUAUGUUCGGAAGGGAUAACCGCUGAAAGCAUCUAAGCGGGAAGCCUACCUCAAGAUAAGAUUUCCCUAGGACUUUAUGUCCUCUAAAGAGCCGUUCGAGACUAGGACGUUGAUAGGUUGGAUGUGGAAGCAUAGUGAUAUGUGAAGCUGACCAAUACUAAUUGCUCGUGAGGCUUGACUAUACAACACCCAAGCAGUUG
rnacentral:rRNA from 1 species